rnacentral:rRNA from 1 species
CAAAUAUGUUUUUAUGAAAAGGAAUUAUUAUUUUAUUUAUUUAAUUUUUUAUAGUGUAAAAUAUUAGUAUUUUUAUUAUUUAUUAAUUAAUAGUUUUGAGUAAUUAAAGAGUAAAGUAUAUUAUUAGAAUUAUGGAAUUUGGAGAAAAAGUUAAUUUAAAAUUAGUACCUUUUGUAUCAGGGUUUAAAAAAAAAUUAAUGUAUGGAUAAAUUUCUCGAAAAAUUUAGAGUUAAAUUAAUAUAAUUAUAGUUGUAACAUAAACUUAUUUAAUAUUAAUUUGGUAAUGAGAAGUUAAUCGUUAAGUUUAUAUCUGGUUUUCGUUUAAAUUAAUUUAAUUAAAUUCAUUUAGUUUUAUUUAUUUAUGAAACUUAUUUCUUUAUGAUUAAAAUUUUAAAAAGUUUAGUUUUUAAAAUUAAUUAAAUAAAAGAGGUAAAAUUUUUAUUUGGAAUUAAUAUUGUUUAAAAUUAUUUAUUUUUAUAAAUAUAAAUUUUUUAUUUGUAUUUUUAUUUUAUUAAUUUAUUAGGCGAGUAAUUUAAAAAUAUAUAUAAAAAGGUAAUUAUUUUAAAAUUAGUAAUUUUUAUAAAUUGAGUAUAGUAACUCGGCAAAUUUAAUUUUCGCCUGUUUAACAAAAACAUGGUUUUUAGAUUAUUAUUAAAGAUUCAAUCUGCUCACUGAUUAUUUAAAGAGCCGCAGUAUUUUGACUGUGCAAAGGUAGCAUAAUCAAUAGUUUUUUAAUUGGAAACUGGAAUGAAAGAUUAGACGAAAGAUUAACUUUCUUUAUUUUUAUAAAUUGAAUUUAAAAUUUAAGUUAAAAUUCUUAGAUGUUUUUAAAAGACGAGAAGACCCUAUAGAUUUUUAUUAUUUAAAUUUUAAUAUAAAAUAAAAAUAAUUUGGUUGGGGCGAUUUUGUAAUAUAAUAAACUUAAAUUAAUUGAACCAUAAAUACAUGAAUUUUUUGAUCAAAAAAUUUUUAAUUAAGUUUAAAUUACCUUAGGGAUAACAGCGUAAUUUUAUUUAAGAGUUCAUAUCUAUAAUAAAGCUUGCGACCUCGAUGUUGAAUUAAAAAAUAUGCUGGAGUAGAAGUUAGCAUAAAUUAGUCUGUUCGACUAUUAAAUUUUUACAUGAUUUGAGUUCAGACCGGCGUAAGCCAGGUCAGUUUCUAUCUUUAAAAUAUUUUUUUAAAUAAGUACGAAAGGACCAUUUAAUAAUAAAAUUUAUUUUUUAAUG